rnacentral:rRNA from 1 species
AAUGGGCGCAAGCCUGAUCCAGCCAUGCCGCGUGAGUGAUGAAGGCCCUAGGGUCGUAAAGCUCUUUCGCCAGGGAUGAUAAUGACAGUACCUGGUAAAGAAACCCCGGCUAACUCCGUGCCAGCAGCCGCGGUAAUACGGAGGGGGUUAGCGUUGUUUGGAAUUACUGGGCGUAAAGCGCACGUAGGCGGAUCAGAAAGUUGGGGGUGAAAUCCCAGGGCUCAACCCUGGAACUGCCUCCAAAACUCCUGGUUUAGAGUUCGAGAGAGGGGAGUGGAAUUCCGAGUGUAGAGGUGAAAUUUGUAGAUAUUCGGAGGAACACCAGUGGCGAAGGCGGCUCACUGGCUCGAUACUGACGCUGAGGUGCGAAAGUGUGGGGAGCAAACAGGAUU